rnacentral:rRNA from 1 species
UGGUGGAGUGAUUUGUCUGGUUAAUUCCGUUAACGAACGAGACCUCGACCUGCUAAAUAGGUCUGGGAAUCCUCGGAUUCCUUAGACACUUCUUAGAGGGACUAUCGUUGUUUAGACGAUGGAAGUUCGAGGCAAUAACA